rnacentral:hammerhead_ribozyme from 1 species
UUCCAGCUGACGAGUCCUAAAUAGGACGAAACGCACGUCUUGGAU